UGCAUGGUGGUGCAGUGGUUAACACUGUUGGCUUGCAGCAAGAAGGUCCUGGGUUCAAUCCCCGGCCGGGGGUCUUUCUGCAU